AAGAAGCAAACCAUAGAUUUCCGUGUCUAACUUUGACUGUCCGUUUUAUAUGAAAUUUUUUUAUAAUUCGUAUUUUUAUUGUUGUUAGAUGAUAAAACAUGAUUAAUAUUUUAUGCGUGACUUGUCUUUUUAAUUUUUUUCAUAUUUUCUUCAAAUAAGACGGACAGUCAAAUGUUGGACACGGAAAUCAGGGUU
rfam:Oryza sativa (indica cultivar-group) chromosome 3, whole genome shotgun sequence.